GACAGAGGGUGCAAACGUUGUUCGGAAUUACUGGGCAUAAAGGGCACGUAGGUGGUUCGCUAAGUUACGUGUGAAAUCCCCCGGCUCAACCGGGGAAUUGCGCGUGAUACUGGCAGACUCGAGUCCGGAAGAGGAGUGUGGAAUUCCAGGUGUAGCGGUGAAAUGCGUAGAUAUCUGGAGGAACACCGGUGGCGAAGGCGGCAUCCUGGACCGGUAUUGACGCUGAUGCGCGAAAGCCAGGGGAGCAAACGGG
rnacentral:rRNA from 1 species